UUGUAUUUUUAGUAGAGACAAGGUUUCACCAUGUUGGCCAGGUUGGUCUCAAACUCCUGACCUCAAGUGAUCCACCCGCCUCAGCCUCUCAAAAUGCUGGGAUUACAGGCAUGAGCCACCAUGCCCGGCCUCCCAGUUUUCAUGAUGAGGAAGUGAUGGUAGCUUUUCAUCUGCCCAGAAGUUAACUUUUGAUGGAUUUGCCUUCUAAGGCAUCAAACAUGUCUUCUAAGGCCUUCUCCACACAUUGGAGAAACUCCCGGGCAUUGCGGCCUGGGUAGGAAGAGACAUUGCAGCCUAUCCAGUUGUCAUGAACAGCAUACCCAACACCAAAGCCAUCAGAGACCACAGGGGCAAAGCCCCCAAGGUUCACUGCUGGGCUGCUCAGUGUGCUCGUGGACAGGACAUUGUGGUUUAUCUGCCCGUAUGCAGGGUCCAGGUAUGCCAGGGGAAACUCGGGGGCGGGGCUGCUGUCUGAGAGAAUGUACUUCAGAUGUGCCUGGAUUUCCGAGGGGCUCACAAUGUUC
rnacentral:lncRNA from 10 species